GCGGUGGUGGUUCAGGAGUAGAAUUCUUGCCUUCCAGGCUAGAGACCCAGGUUCAGUUCCUGGCCAGUGCA
rnacentral:tRNA from 1 species